rnacentral:rRNA from 1 species
UACCAGCUCUCCGAGUUGUAGGGACGAUUAUUGGGCUUAAAGCGUCCGUAGCUGGCUUAGCAAGUCUCCUGUUAAAUUCAGCGACCUAAUCGUUGAGCCGCGGGAGAUACUACUAGGCUAGGAGGCGGGAGAGGUCGACGGUACUUUCGGGGUAGGGGUGAAAUCCUAUAAUCCCGGGAGGACCACCAGUGGCGAAGGCUGUCGACUAGAACGCGCUCGACGGUGAGGGACGAAAGCUGGGGUAGCGAACCGGAUUAGAUACCCGGGUAGUCCCAGCUGUAAACUAUGCGGGCUGGGUGUUGGGGUGGCUACGGGCCACUUCAGUGCCGCAGGAAAGCCAUUAAGCCCGCCGCCUGGGGAGUACGGCCGCAAGGCUGAAACUUAAAGGAAUUGGCGGGGGAGCACCACAAGGCGUGAAGCUUGCGGUUC